GAGUCACUCAAGUUAAGAACAUCAUCGAGUCACUUAAGCUCGGAACUUCAUCGAGUCACUCAAGUUAGGAACUUCAUCGUGUCACUCAAGUUCGGAACUUCAUCGAGUCACUCAAGUUAAGAACAUCAUCGAGUCACUUAAGCUCGGAACUUCAUCGAGUCACUCAAGUUAGGAACUUCAUCGUGUCACUCAAGUUCGGAACUUCAUCGAGUCACUCAAGUUAAGAACAUCAUCGAGUCACUUAAGCUCGGAACUUCAUCGAGUCACUCAAGUUAGGAACUUCAUCGUGUCACUCAAGUUCGGAACUUCAUCGAGUCACUCAAGUUAAGAACAUCAUCGAGUCACUUAAGCUCGGAACUUCAUCGAGUCACUCAAGUUAGGAACUUCAUCGUGUCACUCAAGUUCGGAACUUCAUCGAGUCACUCAAGUUAAGAACAUCAUCGAGUCACUUAAGCUCGGAACUUCAUCGAGUCACUCAAGUUCGGAACUUCAUCGAGUCACUCAAGUUAGGAACUUCAUCGUGUCACUCAAGUUCGGAACUUCAUCGAGUUACUCAGGUUCAGAACUUCAUCGAGUCACUUAAGCUCGGAGCUUCAUCGAGUUACUCAAGUUUGAGGCAAUGGAGCUUUGGCUGCUGAAGCUGCUGGUGCUUGCUGGUCUGCGGGCUGGGCUGGUGCGAGCCGCGGUCUACGUUGAGACCCUCGCCAGCACGAAGCUGUCCCACUUCGACAGCGAGUUCAACGUCGCUUCCUCAUGCGAGUGUAAAAUCCGGUGCGCGGUGCAGCCGACGUGCCUCGCAGUCUCGUUCAAGUCGCCCG